rnacentral:rRNA from 1 species
UAAAUGAGGACAAACCUGUCUCUUAUAACCAAUCAGUGAAACUGAUCUCCCAAUACAAAAGUUGGGAUGAACACAUAAGACGAGAAGACCCCGUGGAGCUUAAAACUAACCACUAACCAAACAACCAUAGUGCACUGUUUUAAGUUGGGGCGACUUCGGAACAAAACAAAACCUCCGAGCACAGAACCACCACUUCUAACCAAGGCCAACAAGCCUAAGUUUAACCUGACCCGGCCUCACGCCGAUCAACGAACCAAGUUACCCCGGGGAUAACAGCGCUAUCUUCUUCAAGAGUCCCUAUCAACAAGAAGGUUUACGACCUCGAUGUUGGAUCAGGACACCCAAAUGGUGCAGCCGCUAUUAAUGGUUCGUUUGUUCAACGAUUAACAGUCCU